AACAGGUCAGAGGGCACGCUGAGUCCGCGCCGCCGCACUCGCCUCCGAAACCGCCGGCGCCAUGUUUGACAAGGGCACCGCCCCGCGUUCCGUGGGAGAGCAGCCCAGAGGCGAGAUCCUACCCUAAGCGUGCGUGCCUGCCCAAGGCCACGACCUGCCGGAGAGACACGUGUGGCGCCGAGAUAGCGAGCUUAACGGUCCCUUAAACGAAGAGUGAAUUAACUGAUCCGUGCUGCGAUACUUUCCCAUUCAUCGCCUGGCUCCCCCCACAGCGCUUGGGGACAGUUUCAAUCCUGCGUGUGAGUGCCUGUGUGCCUGCCUGCGUGCAUGUGUGUCUUUGCGACGCUGGGUAUAUGUGAAGAUCAGAGGACAACUUUUGAAAAUCAUUACUUUCUUCCACCAUGUGGAUCUUAGCACUAUAGGGCUUGGUGGCAAGUGUUUAGAGGCAAGUACUUUUAUCCACUGAGCUAUCUCACCUAACCUAUUUCUGGUUUGUUUUUGUUUUUGUUUUGUUUUGUUUGAAACAG
rnacentral:lncRNA from 1 species